rnacentral:rRNA from 1 species
AAAGGCCUUAUGCUUUUGGAGCGGCCGAUGUCUGAUUAGCUAGUUGGUGGGGUAAUUCCCUACCAAGGCGACGAUCAGUAGUUGGUCUGAGAGGACGGCCAGCCACNCUGGGACUGAGACACGGCCCAGACUCCUACGGGAGGCAGCAGUGGGGAAUUUUGGACAAUGGGCGCAAGCCUGAUCCAGCAAUGCCGCGUGAGUGAAGAAGCCCUUCGGGUUGUAAAGCUCUUUCAGUUGAGAAGAAAAGAUUGUAACUAAUAAUUACAGUUCAUGACGGUAUCAACAGAAGAAGCACCGGCUAACUACGUNCCANCAGCCGCGGUAAUACGUAGGGUGCGAGCGUUAAUCGGAACUACUGGGCGUAAAGGGUGCGCAGGCGGUUCUGUAAGUCAGAUGUGAAAUCCCCGGGCUUAACCUGGGAACU